CGGAAUAUAGCGCAGUCCGGUAGCGUAUCUGCCUUGGGAGCAGGGGGCCGCAAGUUCGAAUCUUGCUAUUCCGACCA
rnacentral:tRNA from 1 species